CGAGGACGAACGCUGGCGGCGUGCCUAACACAUGCAAGUCGAACGGACGAGGGGAGCUUGCUCCCCGAGUUAGUGGCGAACGGGUGAGUAACGCGUGAGCAACCUGCCUUUCAGAGGGGGACAACGGUUGGAAACGACCGCUAAUACCGCAUGAAGCAAUCGGACCGCAUGAUCUGAUUGCCAAAGAUUUAUCGCUGAAAGAUGGGCUCGCGUCUGAUUAGAUAGUUGGUGGGGUAACGGCCCACCAAGUCGACGAUCAGUAGCCGGACUGAGAGGUUGAACGGCCACAUUGGGACUGAGAUACGGCCCAGACUCCUACGGGAGGCAGCAGUGGGGAAUAUUGGGCAAAGUGGGGGAAACCCUGACCCAGCAACGCCGCGUGAAGGAAGAAGGCUUUCGGGUUGUAAACUUCUUUACCAGGGACGAAGGACGUGACGGUACCUGGAGAAAAAGCCACGGCUAACUACGUGCCAGCCGCUGC
rnacentral:rRNA from 1 species